UACGUAGGGGGCAAGCGUUGUCCGGAUUUAUUGGGCGUAAAGAGCGUGUAGGCGGCCAGACAGGUCCGUUGUGAAAACUCGAGGCUCAACCUCGAGACGUCGAUGGAAACCGUCUGGCUAGAGUCCGGAAGAGGAGUGUGGAAUUCCUGGUGUAGCGGUGAAAUGCGCAGAUAUCAGGAAGAACACCUAUGGCGAAGGCAGCACUCUGGGACGGUACUGACGCUGAGGCGCGAAAGCUAGGGGAGCGAACGGG
rnacentral:rRNA from 1 species